CUAUUCUAAUAUAUCAUUUCUUUCCAGAUAGAAAAAUUAAGUAAAAGUGAAUGAAAUUGCAUGAAUUACAGGAAAUUGCAUGGGAAGUGAAGUAAUAGUUUGAUAAAUUGCGAGGUAUUCUGUUAUUUACGAAAUCAAGAUGGAAGCCAUUUUUCAUGAACAGGCGGUUCAAUCCCCACCUCCUUGAUCAGAGGCCAGCAUCCUACAGCCUCUAUUGUAAACCUCCCCCUUGAACCAACUAUGUGAGGUCAUGGCGGAGGGUGUCGAGGAGGGUUUGGAGGAUCCAGGAUCGGAUCCUCCAGUAGCUGAGGAUGUAGAGACCGUGGAUCCCCGAGGAUCACAAGAAACGGAGGAUUUAGCCUCCAAGGAUUCUAAUUCUAGUGAUGAUUCAAAUAAAGAUUCUUGUGAUUCCAAUACUCAGCACAUUGAUGAUGAUACUCGUAACACUGAACCAAUGAAAAUUCAAUCAGAUAUAAAAACUAGAACUGUACCAGAUUCUAGUGUACCAGAUUCUAACACACCAGAUAAUCCACCAAAGGUUUCUCCUGUUUUACCAGAGAUUGUUAGUAAAGAAAGUGAAGAUGUCUCCAAUGUCGAGCAGGAUGUUCCGCCUGCUGAUCAUUCUUCCCCUCUUGUUGAAGAAGAGCCCUUGAACGAUAUUACCCAUCCUCUUUUCUCAUCUAAAUCUAUUCUGGAAGAGGAGGAGAAGGAGGCUGAGAGAGAAGCCGCAACAACCGAACAGAGUGGGGGUGGACUAGGAUUUACACUUGGAGCUGAGAGUAAAGCUGAUAUCUUGGAUUCUCUAGCUUUCUCAAUCAAGCAUAGGGAUUCUUCGGGAUUCAUGCAGGAACAGUUUAUGGAUCAGGAUGUGAUAAAUCUAGCAGAUUUCCAGUCUGGGCCCCCGCAACAACACCGUGUAGGAUAUCCAGGACCUGCAACGGGUUGGUCUGGAACGGAUUCCCAGGCUGGAUCUACGGGAAAGUUCUCCGGUCGGUGGAGUGGGGCGGGAAAUUAUGAGGAGGACUAUGGUUGGGAUGAAGGUGGUGGGGAUAAUAUCUCUGAUCUAUUAACAAUAAGACGAGUGGACAGUAAAGAUGUUGUUUACAAGAAGAAGAAAGCCGCAAAGUUUGUUGGAAAAUACGUGUUCGGAGAUAUUCUUGGAGAAGGAAGCUAUGCUAGGGUUAAAGAAUGUGUAGAUUCUGAAACCUUGUGCAGACGAGCAGUGAAGAUUAUGAAGAAGCGUAAGUUGCGUAAGAUUCCUAAUGGCGAAGAGAAUGUUAGACGUGAGAUUGCCUUGUUAAAAUCCUUGAAUCAUAAGAACGUUAUGAAGCUCAUUGAUGUUCUUACCAACGAACAAAAGGGGAAAAUAUAUUUGGUGCUAGAGUAUUGCUGUACGGUACUGCAGGAAAUGCUGGAGAAAAGUGUAGAUAAGAAGUUUCCGCCUUGGCAAAGUCAUCUCUACUUUACCCAGCUCCUAGAGGGGCUGGAAUACUUACACUCAAAGGGAAUAAUCCACAAGGAUAUAAAGCCUGGAAACCUGCUGCUGGAUCGAGCAGAAGUUCUCAAGAUAGCAGAUUUCGGAGUUUGUGAGCAGAUUGAUAUGUUUUCUCAGAAUGAUCUGAUAAAGACAAGUCAAGGAACCCCCUCCUUCCAACCACCAGAGGUUGCGACCGGUGUAGAUUUGUUUUCGGGGGAAAAACUUGAUAUUUGGAGCUGUGGGGUUACUCUGUACAACUUCAGUACAGGCGAUUACCCAUUUCAAGGAGACACAAUCUUUAAGCUUUUUGAAAAUAUCGGUAAAGGUGAAUUCAGUUUCCAUGUGGGUGUGGACAAGUUGUUAGAGGAUCUAGUGACCCAGCUGUUAGCCCUGGACCCGGCUGACCGGCCAAAUGUCAAGCAGGCCAGACAACAUGAUUGGUGCAGGAAGAAGUUUCCGAGAUCAUCCCAGGCUGUGUGUGCUCCUCCAUACCUGGAUGAUCCAUUCCUCUCGACCACUGUUCUACCCUACCUAGAGAACCAUCACUAUCCGUCCUCAGAACCUGAGCUCAUCUCAGAGCAUGAUCUUAAUAGACAAGAAGAGGCAAGACUUGAACAGCAGCAAGAAGAAGCUGCAGAGCUAGAACAAGAACGACGAGAAUCAAAGACGACAUCUUGUAUUAAAUUAAAGAAUGGGUGCAAACAGCAGUGAGAAGGAAAACAAAAUUAUCCUCGCGUUAAUGUACGGAAAUCCGUUGACUGCGUGCAUAACAAACUUCAAGAAGGUGUACAUUGGCUCCAUAGUGCUUAACUAACUUAGAUCGGAGCAUAGUCAAACUUCAAAGUGUUUGUAGAUCGGAUUAAAUACCAUAGUUAAAUCUCAAAGUGUACGUAGAUCGGAUGAUGGAGCAUAAUCAAACCUCGAGGCGUACGUAGAUCGGAGAUUGGAUGACUUACCAUAAAUUAAACCUAAAGGUGUACGUAGAUUGGAUGAUAUACUAUUUUCAUUCAAUAAGUUUUAAGAAGUUCGGAUAAUGGAUCAUAGUUCAAACAUAAAAACGUUCCUCAAAAUUAUAUCACCAUAUACUAAUCUUGUUAUUUAAGAUCUUUGAUCAAGGAUCACUACUAACGGACUUAAUCCAUGAUUUCGCCUUAUUUAUUAAUUUUGUUACCUGAACGAAUUUUACCAAAAGUUAAUAUUUUGAACAGUGAGCUAGAUACUUAAAUAGUUUGUCCUUAGAAGUUCAAAUCAGGUAGUAAUUAAUAUUUAUUAGUCCUGAGUUGGGAACUUUAGAAUUGGAUAACCCCGAUUGCUUAAUCUGAAUAUUCAAUACUUAAUUAGAGUUCGCUCAUAGAUCGUGUACAGAAUUUCAAAUUUUCCGGCCUCUCUCGAUUGGUUGAGUUUCAUACACUUACAUAAAUUAAUCUUGAAAAUAACAAAAUGGAUCAAGCAUUGAUCUCGAAAUUUACAAUUCUUAAGUUUUCAGCGCUGAAGUAUUUAUUACUGUUCAGAUUUAGUUUACUACCUAGACAAAUGUAAGCUAAGGUCGAAACUUUUCAAUUGUAAAUCAUUAAAGGGACUUCCGCUUAAAUUUAAAGAAAUACCACAAUAUUAGUUCUUAACUCUGUCUUUGUUUUAAUUUACGGUUUUUUCCGUAACUCGGGGAUUAUCUGCUUUUUACUCGUGCUAUUGAUUGAAUAAUUAAUUGAAAAUCUAUUUAACUUUCAACUAAAAAUACGCUUCUAACAUUUAAUAAAUUGAUAAACUUCCUUACUUUAAAAUAGUUUGUAUAACAUAAUAAAAUGAACGAAACUUAAAACAGUUGUACUUAAAAAAGUUUUUAUUUUUCAAUUUUGCAAAAGUUAAUUUAUACCUUAAAGGGAUGUAUGGCGUUGAACUGAGAAUGUAGUAUUGUGGAGAAAUUUUUUACGUAUUUGAGACCUAUGAGACGUUUUUAAGGUGUAUACUUGUUCAGCAAGAGCACAAAUUCAAUCCUUUUAAUCCUUAAUUUUUUAGGGAUGAUUUUUAGAAUCGGUUUUUUAAAUUUAUUCAAUAACGACGACGAAAAAUGUAGUAAAAAUUCUGCAUUAAACUAAUUAGUUGUUUUGAAACAGGUUGAGAGAAUAAAAAUUGACGAUUAUCAUGGAAAUAAGUAAUUUUAUUCAGUUAUUGGUUUCUGUAAGUGUAGUGUCUCUUUGUUCAUAAACAUUUUCUGUAGAUUUCCUGGAAUUUUUAUGGAAAAGACGACAUUUGAAGAAUUUGAAGAAAUCCGCGACCAAAUUCAUAAAAAAUGAUAAAUUCAAUAUGAUGAUAAUGUACACAUAAUUGAUUCUAAAAUUGAUUUAUUGAGAAUUAUGUUCCGAAACAUCUAAUUAGUUUAGAAAAGGCACAUUCUGCAAAUUUAUGUUAAAAAUUUAGGCCUUGUCUCUUUGUCAUCAUUUCAGCACUUCAAACAACAGCAAUAGCGUGUCCCUUACAUUUACAUUCUGGGAAACAACUCUCCAAUACCUCAUUUAUUUAUUUUUUGGUUUUUUUGAGCUGUCAAAAUUUGGUUAGAAAAGUUUGAUUCAUUUAAGCACUGGCUCCUUUGAUUAUCAUGUGAUACUUCGAUUUCCAUUCUAAGAAUGAGACUAAAGUAACUUAGGAUGAUAUUUUAAGGAAACUAUUAGUCGAGUAUAGCCAGUUGCUAGCAGCCUAGCCAUGAUGAAUCGAGAGCUGCCGAUCAUAGCAGUUAUGAUCGGAAUGUGUUUUUCAAGCAAACUCUGUCCUUUUUACAGGUUUGAAUCCUGGAUGCUUUUACUUAAGUAAUAGUUUUUUUUUAAAGUUUCAAUUGAGAAAUAUGUUUCUUAACAUCAAAUUUGUUUACUGUAGAAUUUGUUU